rnacentral:lncRNA from 1 species
ACAGAUCAAGAAAAAGAUAAGUUUAAACCAUUCAAACUAAACCUCAUUGAAGAAGAUUUGCCUUAGCUCCUCUCUGUUAUUUUCCCUUCUUUCUUCAGUUCUUGUUUCUCAACGACUGCGCUGGGCUCUGUCUCGCAUAGUAAAGCCCAAUAGAAUUUGGCUCGCUCUUGGAUUUAUAUUGCACUUUCAGAAAGACAGGAAAACAAAUUAUUAAUAUUUCGUGGAGAUUAAGAACACGAUAAUAUGAAAGAAAAAUAUGACACACACAUUCCAUCUGAUCUUUUGUCUUUAUCUCCUCCUCCAUUCUUCAC